UACGAAGGUGGCAAGCGUUACUCGGAUUUACUAGGCGUAAAGGGCAGGUAGGUGGUUUGAUAAGUCUGCUGUGUACGCUCCCGGCUCAACUGGGAGAGGUCAGCGGAAACUGUCAGGCUUGAGUAUGGGAGAGGGUACUGGAAUUCCUGGUGUAGCGGUGAAAUGCGCAGAUAUCAGGAGGAACACCAAUGGCGAAAGCAGGUACCUGGACCAUUACUGACACUCAGCUGCGAAAGCUAGGGGAGCAAACAGG
rnacentral:rRNA from 1 species